rnacentral:rRNA from 1 species
UACGUAGGAGACGAGCGUUGUCCGGAGUUACUGGGCGUAAAGGGUGCGCAGGUGGCCGCGCGCGUGGGGGGUGAAAUCGCCUGGCUUAACUGGGCGGGGGCCUUCCAGACGGCGUGGCUUGAGCAGCGGAGGGGGGCGUGGAAUUCCGGGUGGAGCGGUGAAAUGCGUAGAGAUCCGGAGGAACACCGCCGGCGCAGGCAGCGCCCUGGUCGCUUGCUGACACUGAGGCACGAAAGCUGGGGGAGCAAACAGG